AAAACUUUCAACAACGGAUCUCUUGGUUCUGGCAUCGAUGAAGAACGCAGCGAAAUGCGAUAAAUAAUGUGAAUUGCAGAAUUCAGUGAAUCAUCGAAUUUUUGAACGCACAUUGCGCCC
rnacentral:rRNA from 1 species